GUGAUGGAGAGGGAUGCGGAAUUCCAGGUGUAGCGGUGAAAUGCGUAGAUAUCUGGAGGAACACCGGUGGCGAAGGCGGCAUCCUGGACCAACACUGACGCUGAGUGAGCGAAAGCCAGGGGAGCAAACGGGAUUAGAUACCCCGGUAGUCCUGGCCCUAAACGAUGAAUGCUUGGUGUGGCGGGUAUCGAUCCCUGCCGUGCCGAAGCUAACGCAUUAAGCAUUCCGCCUGGGGAGUACGGUCGCAAGGCUGAAACUCAAAUGAAUUGACGG
rnacentral:rRNA from 1 species